ACCAGAUAUCCCUUCAAUCGGGAAACACUAGCAAAGGUUCAAGGGAUAAUUUUGCGUACAAAAAUUCGUCGGCAGAAGAGUGCCCAGAGGGAAGUGUGCCCAUCGUGGAGAUCACACGUGAACGUGUUGAAAGAGCAGGAUCUCUGAGACAAUACUUAAAUACAGGAUUGCACGAUAACACACAGAAAACUCAUGAAGAAGCGAAGAGCGCAGUAGCAUUUAUAAGUCCAAGGGGAAGCCAGGAGAUCCAUGAGAUCAAAGCUUCUUUCAAUGUAUGGCAACCUUCCGUGGACACCA